UGCAGGGCUGAAUAGAACUGGAUUUUCUAU
rnacentral:piRNA from 1 species